GUGAGGGCCGUGCGGCCGGGAGUUGGCAGCCCUCUGUGGUGUGUUCCAGGGCUGAACAGACAGACUGUGCGAGGCUUGUGGCUGAUUGUUUACUAAACACGAGAGGCCCCGGUGUGACCUGGGAGUCCUGCUCUAGCUAGACUCACCCGGAGACAUCAGAUGCCUGGCAUUUGCGCUCAGCAGUAUGACAGAGGCCUCCUGUUGAAUCGCAUCUGGAACCCUUGCACCAGCCAGGAGGAGGAACCACCUCUCAAGGAGAAGAAGUAAAAACAAUCUUAUCAGAGAACUUUGAAGACAGAAUAAAAGGUUAUGCAAUACUAUCAGACCGUGGAAGACAGACCACUGAUGGGCAGAGUCCUGAGAAUCAGGGGAGCUGCCAGGAGGACAAGGAAUCUCCUGCAUUGUGUCCGGCAGAGGAAUGAAAGCUUGCUCAGACCUGAAAAAGUUGCUCAGGCCAAACAGAAGUGAGGAGUGAAGAGAUAGAGGCAGUCUGGGCUCCUCCAGAGCAGCUAGCAACUGUUGGAAUAUUUGUCAACACAUUUUCAGACUAAGAAGUGGGCCUCAGGAAUAAGAUUGUCCCAAACACAGUGAUUCUCAAAAGGGGAUGAUUUUAACCUUCCUCACUGGCCCCACCAGGGGACACUGGGCAAUGUCUGGAGACAUGUGGUUUAUACAGUGGGGGUUGUGGGGCAGGAUGCUGCUGUCCAUCCUGCAGCCCAGGACUCCUCACCACAGAGAAUUAUCUGGGCCCAAGUGUGAAGAAGGUCAAGGUUAAGAAAAAGCAUGGUCUAAACUACUUGGUCUGACAUCUUGAAUGUAUAUAUAAAUUAUUUAUAAAUUCUGUCAUAUGUAAAAAUGUUUAUAAAAUACUUAUCAUAUGUGUGUAUGUACAUCUGUAUGUAAAUAUACAUAAAUGUAUACCUGGAUACAUAUAUAAUCUUGGGGUUUUAGUAAAUCCUGUUUAUCGUAUGAACUCACUGCUCUGGAGUUAAGGCAGGUCUUGUAAAGCAAUAUUUUUCUUGAGUAAGUUAAAGCUGUUUUCCUUAGUGAGAAGGAAGAAAAUUGUGAAUUUUCAGGAAGGACUGUAGCAAUGCGGUCGGCAGGCCUAGCUACAUGUGAGCUCCAACACCUCUCCAGGUCUCCCUUUGCUUACCCAUAAAACAUGACCAAAAAAUCACAUGAACUUCAUCAUUCCCAAGAGUACUGAACAAUAUAAAACAUUUAUCUGAAUAAUAAUAGAUAUAAUAAACUGUGUGCAUAAUUAACCCUACAUAAAUAUUUGCUAUUUUGGUGCAUGUGGUAUCGUUGUACCUGAAUUAUUAGAGGGAAAGAAAUACAUAUUAACUUGAAGUGACUCAUAAAAAUGAUGUGUUAACAUGGGAAAUUUGGGGUCCUU